rnacentral:rRNA from 1 species
AGAACGAACGCUGGCGGCAGGCUUAACACAUGCAAGUCGAACGCGUGUAGCAAUACGGGAGUGGCAGACGGGUGAGUAACGCGUGGGAACAUACCCUCCGGUUCGGAAUAGCUCAGGGAAACUUGGAUUAAUACCGGAUACGGCUGAGAGGCGAAAGAUUUAUCGCCGGAGGAUUGGCCCGCGUUCGAUUAGCUUGUUGGUGAGGUAACGGCUCACCAAGGCGAUGAUCGAUAGCUGGUCUGAGAGGAUGAUCAGCCACACUGGGACUGAGACACGGCCCAGACUCCUACGGGAGGCAGCAGUGGGGAAUAUUGGACAAUGGGGGCAACCCUGAUCCAGCAAUGCCGCGUGAGUGAUGACGGCCUUAGGGUUGUAAAGCUCUUUCGCUCGGGACGAUAAUGACGGUACCGAGAUAAGAGCCCGGCUAACUUCGUGCCAGCAGCCGC